UUCCCCAUUUAUUUGCUGUACAAGUCUCAGUGAUGGAAACAGUUAUUCACAUGGGAUAAAGCAAUAUCUGGCCACUGUAAACUGAAUGGAAGUAAGGACUCUAACUCUUCUGCAUUGUCUAGAUAAUG
ensembl:snoRNA